rnacentral:rRNA from 1 species
CCUACGGGGGGCAGCAGUGAGGAAUAUUGGUCAAUGGGCGCGAGCCCGAACCAGCCAAGUCGCGUGAGGGAAGACGGUCCUAUGGAUUGUAAACCUCUUUUGUCGGGGAGCAAAAGACGCCACGCGUGGCGUUCCGAGAGUACCCGAUGAAUAAGCAUCGGCUAACUCCGUGCCAGCAGCCGCGGUAAUACGGAGGAUACGAGCGUUAUCCGGAUUUAUUGGGUUUAAAGGGUGCGCAGGCGGAAGAUCAAGUCAGCGGUAAAAUUGAGGGGCUCAACCUCUUCGAGCCGUUGAAACUGGUUUUCUUGAGUGAGUUAGAGGUAUGCGGAAUGCGGGGUGUAGCGGUGAAAUGCAGAGAGAUCAUACAGAACACCGAUUGCGAAGGCAGCUUACCAAACUACGACUGACGUUGAGGCACGAAAGCGUGGGGAGCAAACAGGAUUAGAUACCCUGGUAGUC